AAAACAAAUUUAAAUUUCAUCUGCAAAUCAUCAUAGUAAGCUCACAUACAAAAAAAAUCAGUCCAAUAUCUGAAAGCAUUUAGAAAAAAAGUCUGUAUAACUGAGAUUUUCAACAAUUUAUCAAAGUCCAUAGCCCGUAAUUUUGGCAAAAAUUAGCCAAGCAGAACAAAACUUAAACUUGAUCUGUAACUCAUCAUGGUUAACUCACAUAACAAAAAUCAGCC
rnacentral:lncRNA from 1 species